AGUUUGAUCCUGGCUCAGGACGAACGCUGGCGGCGUGCUUAACACAUGCAAGUCGAACGGUGAAGGGACCAGCUUGCUGGUUCUGGAUGAGUGGCGAACGGGUGAGUAACACGUGAGUAACCUGCCCCCUUCUUCUGGAUAACCGCAUGAAAGUGUGGCUAAUACGGGAUAUUCUGGGUCUGKSGCAUGAUGGGCCCGGGAAAGAUAUUGUUUCGGUGGGGGAUGGGCUCGCGGCCUAUCAGCUUGUUGGUGGGGKGAUGGCCUACCAAGGCGGUGACGGGUAGCCGGCCUGAGAGGGUGGACGGUCACACUGGGACUGASACACGGCCCAGACUCCUACGGGAGGCAGCAGUGGGGAAUAUUGCACAAUGGGCGCAAGCCUGAUGCAGCGACGCCGCGUGAGGGAUGGAGGCCUUCGGGUUGUAAACCUCUUUCRMCAGUGAAGCAAGGCCUGCUCCUUGUGGGUGGGUUGACGGUAGCUGGAUAAGAAGCGCCGGCUAACUACGUGCCAGCAGCCGCGGUA
rnacentral:rRNA from 1 species